GACGAACGCUGGCGGCGCGCUUAACACAUGCAAGUCGAACGAGAAGCUCGGUGCUUGCACCGGGUGGACAGUGGCGAACGGGUGAGUAACACGUGAGUAACCUGCCCCGGAGACCGGAAUAACCCGAGGAAACUCGGACUAAUACCGGAUGCCUUCACCGGACCGCAUGAUCUGGUGAAGAAAUGGUCCGCCGCUCCGGGAUGGACUCGCGGCCUAUCAGCUUGUUGGUGAGGUAACGGCUCACCAAGGCGACGACGGGUAGCUGGUCUGAGAGGACGAUCAGCCACACUGGGACUGAGACACGGCCCAGACUCCUACGGGAGGCAGCAGUAGGGAAUCUUGCGCAAUGGGGGAAACCCUGACGCAGCGACGCCGCGUGCGGGAUGAAGGCCCUAGGGUUGUAAACCGCUUUCAGCAGGGACGAAAUUGACGGUACCUGCAGAAGAAGGCCCGGCCAACUACGUG
rnacentral:rRNA from 1 species